GGGUAGAUGAGCGGACCGUGUGUUUCACAACAGAAGCGGAGGAGAACCGGGAUCCUGGACUGAUGAGAGCCGUGUAUUGUGCCCUGUGCCUGGAGUGUGUGUGUGUACAUGAACUGUGAGCCUCUGGUGAGUAACUUUUACUGAAGUUAGUCUGAUAAAUUGAGUGAAAUGUGCUGCUUCUGCUAAUGUUAAUA